rnacentral:rRNA from 1 species
GACGAACGCUGGCGGCGUGCUUAACACAUGCAAGUCGAGCGGUAAGGCCCUUUCGGGGGUACACGAGCGGCGAACGGGUGAGUAACACGUGGGUGACCUGCCCUUAGCUCUGGGGUAAGCCUGGGAAACUGGGUCUAAUACCGGAUAUGACUCCAUGACGCAUGUUGUGGGGUGGAAAGCCUUGUGCGGCUAGGGAUGGGCCCGCGGCCUAUCAGCUUGUUGGUGGGGUGAUGGCCUACCAAGGCGACGACGGGUAGCCGGCCUGAGAGGGCGACCGGCCACACUGGGACUGAGACACGGCCCAGACUCCUACGGGAGGCAGCAGUGGGGAAUCUUGCGCAAUGGGCGAAAGCCUGACGCAGCGACGCCGCGUGAGGGAUGACGGCCUCGGUU